GGCUGCUGGUGGGCUGGGAUGCCGAUACUUAUACCGUGUCGGUCAAAGACACACGCCCGUUCGAUCCGGUCGAGCAUCCG
rnacentral:tRNA from 1 species